rnacentral:tRNA from 1 species
GAAGAGUGGUACGAACGGUACGGCGGUAGACUUAAGAUCUACUGGAAGACUUCCGGCGCGAGUUCGAACCUCGCAUCCUUCA